rnacentral:rRNA from 1 species
AUUGAACGCUGGCGGCAGGCCUAACCCAUGCAAGUCGAGCGAGCGGCGGACGGGUGUGUAAUGUAUGGGGACUGCCCGAUAUAGGGGGAUAACUACUGGAAACGGUGGCUAAUACCGCAUACUGUACGAUUACCCAUAUGGGAUUAGCUAGUAGGUAAGGUAUUGGCUUACCUAGGCGACGAUCUCUAGCUGGUCUGUGAGGAUGAUCAGCCACACUGGGACAGAGACACGGGCCAGACUCCUACGGAGGCAGCAGUGGGGAAAAUUGCACAAAGGGCGGAAGCCUGAUGCAGCCAUGCCGCGUGAAUUAAGAAAGCCCUAGGGUUGUAAAUUAUUUUCAGUCGGGAGGCGUUACCGACAGAAGAAGCACCGGCUAACUCCGUGCCAGCAGCCGCUGUAAUAC